rnacentral:lncRNA from 1 species
ACAAUCUAGAUUUUAUUUCCUUAACUCGACCAAUAUACAUAGAUUCAAUUCUUCAACAUCAAAGGAAACUAGAAACAUACUUGGAAAUGAACUGAAAUAAGUAGGAAAGAAGGUCAGUUGUAGCAACAAGGCAAUAACGAGCAGCAAUGGAAUUCCAGUGAUAUAGAACAUUAGAAUAGCCCAGAAAAGUAUUAAAGAAGCAAAUAGAACCAAUAGAUCUACUCAAAUCAGCAUCAAACACCCCGGAAUAAAUCAGGAAGACAAUACAAUCGACGGGUUAAACCAAAACAGCUUCAAGUAACCCAAAUGAAUUUAAUAUCGACCCAAAUAGAAAAUCUUAGUAGAUUUGUAUCCUAAUUAAGCUAGAAGACUGGAUUAAAUACUAGAAUUGAAGAUGAACUGAAGAAAACUCAUGGAGCAGUAGACCUUUUUUUGUUUUUUAGAGUUUUGUUUUUGUAUGUUUGGUUUUUGAAUCUAAGGAGAGCUAAAACCUAAAAUUUCUGAACUGAAAUUGAGCUUCAAAUCAGGAAAAAUGAGCAGUCUACUUGAGAAAUUUUUGGCUGAAGAAAGAAUACCCUUUUACAAGGCAUCUAAUGUCCU